AAGGAAAACUGAAGCCGUGUUACACAGAUGCUACCUACGAAGAGAGGUGCCGCAAUGGAGACUGGAGCUAGAGGUGAUGCUGCAAAGAGGAGUGAAGUUUGAGAUAGAAGCAUUAUCUGUGUGUGCAUUAUCCUUCUUAUCAGAGGAGUACAUACUAUCUAAAAUUCAAGAAAUCUUAUGAGACAAAACAGUAUAAGAAGGGGUUGAAGGCUGCGGACACUAUAUUGAAAAAGGAGGUAUUUUCUGUUUCAUGCAAUAUGUAAUUUGGUACUGCACAAUUAGCUGAUCUAGCGACCAUUUUAUUCAGUUUUGUUUCCUCUGUCCGCGUCCAUUGGCUCU